UCUCUGCCCCUCCCCUGCUCAUACACACACUUUUUCUCAAAAUAAAUAAAUAAUUAAAAAAAAAGUAAUGCUAACUGGUAUGGAAUUUGAAUAUAUGAAUCAAGAACUUAGGAAACUGGUUUGGCUAGAGCUAAAGGUUUGAGAAUUUUCAAGAUGGAAGUGGUAAUUGAAGUCCUGGGUGUCGAGGCGUUUGCCUAAGGAGAGUAUGGAGCGAACAGAGAGGAGAGCUGAGGAGAGCACCCGAGGGGAUACCAGCAGUUAAUGGAGAGCAGGGGAGGUGAGACCAGAGGAAGGGCUGAAACGUGGGAAGAAAUCCAAGAUGGAUGGGUGUCCAGCAAAUCUGGCCCCUUCCCUCUAGGGGGAGCCUGGCUGGCAACCCUUAAUGCGUGCCCCGUGUGUACGCAGCUAAUAUGGAACUUUCCCUCUGUUUUGCAAGGUGCUGUUUUUAUGAAGCCCUCCUACGUGGGACCAGAAGGAAGCUCCUUGAGGUGUGGGGUCAAUUGUUAAUCGUUUUCAUUGUCCCAGGGCCUACAACAGUGACCGGGCAUGUAGCGAGAGGGUGAUAAAUAUUUGCAGGCAGGUCUGAAUGGAACGGUUGUUGGCAAGGAAGCCGUGGGAAGGGAGGGUUUCAGGAAGGAGGAGUGGUCUGCGGUGGCAAAUAUUGAGAACAAUCAAGUAAGAUAAGGCCUGUAAAGGGCCAGUGCCAUUUGGCUCAGUGUAUCUGGUAAUUAGGGCAUUGGCGACCUUGGGGAGAAGUGUUUUUGUGGGGAAAUAGGGACAGAAAACAUCCGCCGUGGGACAGGUUGAGCUGCAUGGCAGUAUGGCAUCCUGGCCGGUCUCCUGGGAAGGUGCUCAGCUGGGGCCGGCUGCCUGUCCUUCUGCUCACUCAGUGCUUCCUGAAACCAUCUGAACCUCAAAGGGCACCAGGCAGCGAGAGCCGGUGUCCCAUUGGUUGCCGACAUGGCUUCUAAAAACAGAAGAAACGGUGGCCUUCUCACGGCAGGCUGGCCUUGGUGUGUGAGAAGCCCAGGCGGGGACAAGGGCAGGAGUUAGGCAUGUUUUGCAGCACCAGAUAAUGAAUGAAGCCAGGGCAGGACUCCUUCCAGGCCCCAUAACGCAGAGAAGGAGGGAAGACCGGAUACUCACCCAUAUCAGCCUGCCGGACAUUUUUCAUCCGGAUG